rnacentral:misc_RNA from 1 species
AAGUCGUAACAAGGUCUCCGUUGGUGAACCAGCGGAGGGAUCAUUACUGAGUUAUUAAAACUCCAAACCCUUUGUGAACCUUACUGUCGUUGCCUCGGCGUGAGCUACGGCUACCCUGUAGCUACCCUAUAGCUACCCUGCAGCUACCCUAUAGUUGACCAGUAGCUACCCUGUAGUUACCCUAUAGCUACCCUGCAGCUACCCUAUAGUUGAUAUGUAGCUACCCUGUAGCCGGCUUAUGGCCCGCCGAAGGACCGCUAAACUCUUGUUUUUUACCACUGUUUCUCUGAAUUGUAAACUUAAAUAAGUUAAAACUUUCAACAACGGAUCUCUUGGUUCUG